GAUGAACGCUGGCGGCGUGCCUAAUACGUGCAAGUCGAGCGAACGGACGAGAAGCUUGCUUCUCUGAUGUUAGCGGCGGACGGGUGAGUAACACGUGGAUAACCUACCUAUAAGACUGGGAUAACUUCGGGAAACCGUAGCUAAUACCGGAUAAUAUUUUGAACCGCAUGGUUCAAAAGUGAAAGACGGUCUUUCUGUCACUUAUAGAUGGAUCCGCGCUGCAUUAGCUAGUUGGUAAGGUAACGGCUUACCAAGGCAACGAUGCAUAGCCGACCUGAGAGGGUGAUCGGCCACACUGGAACGGAGACACGGUCCAGACUCCUACGGGAGGCAGCAGUAGGGAAUCUUCCGCAAUGGGCGAAAGCCUGACGGAGCAACGCCGCGUGAGUGAUGAAGGUCUUCGGAUCGUAAAACUCUGUUAUUAGGGAAGAACAUAUGUGUAAGUAACUGUGCACAUCUUGACGGUACCUAAUCAGAAAGCCACGGCUAACUACGUG
rnacentral:rRNA from 1 species